rnacentral:lncRNA from 10 species
AUGGCCCUGAGUCCUUAAAUUAUAGGCUCUCCUGCAGUUUCAAAAAGCUAAUUCACACUACUGUGUGCAUUAGAAAGGUGGUAUAUAUGAUAUUCCACUAAGGGAAACCCUAGGAACAUUAAACUCCUACUAGUAACUGGUCACGAGUCAGGGCUAGAACUGACACUAGUCAUUUUUCUUCACUGACAAGUUUUCAUUAUGUGGCUUUCCCAGAACAAUUUAGAAAUUGAUCUGCAACUGAUGGAAGCUGGGAUGAAUUGGGCGCAUAAGUGAACCCAAAGCAUCAGAGCAAAGUCAAAGCGAACAUCUGGCUCCAGCUUUGAGUACAAGAGACUUGUGUUUCCAUGGAAUAAUCUUGGGAUCCAUGUGGAGUGCAAGAGAUUGGAACAGAAGGAGUUCUCAAAAAAUAAAAACUUCGGGCGGGUGCGGUGGCUCACGCCUGUAAUCCCAGGACUUUGGGAGGCCGAGGUGGGCGGAUCACGAGGU